rnacentral:misc_RNA from 1 species
GAUGAAGAACGUAGCGAAAUGCGAUGAGUAAUGUGAAUUGCAGAAUUCAGUGAAUCAUCGAAUCUUUGAACGCACAUUGCGCCCGCCAGCAUUCUGGCGGGCAUGCCUGUUCGAGCGUCAUUUCAACCCUCGAGCCCCCCCGGGGGCCUCGGUGUUGGGGGACGGCACACCAGCCGCCCCCGAAAUGCAGUGGCGACCCCGCCGCAGCCUCCCCUGCGUAGUAGCACACACCUCGCACCGGAGCGCGGAGGCGGUCACGCCGUAAAACGCCCAACUUUCUUAGAGUUGACCUCGGAUCAGGUAGGAAUACCCGCUGAACUUAAGCAUAUCAUAAGCGAGGA